AACGAACGCUGGCGGCAUGCCUAACACAUGCAAGUCGAACGGUAGAGGGGGCAACCCCUUGAGAGUGGCGAACGGGUGAGUAAUGCAUCGGAACGUGCCCAGUCGUGGGGGAUAACGCAGCGAAAGCUGUGCUAAUACCGCAUACGAUCUCUGGAUGAAAGCGGGGGACCGAAAGGCCUCGCGCGAUUGGAGCGGCCGAUGUCAGAUUAGGUAGUUGGUGGGGUAAAGGCUCACCAAGCCAACGAUCUGUAGCUGGUCUGAGAGGACGACCAGCCACACUGGGACUGAGACACGGCCCAGACUCCUACGGGAGGCAGCAGUGGGGAAUUUUGGACAAUGGGCGCAAGCCUGAUCCAGCAAUGCCGCGUGUGUGAAGAAGGCCUUCGGGUUGUAAAGCACUUUCGUUGGGGAAGAAAAAGCCAAAGAUAAUACCUUUGGAAAUUGACGUUACCCAAAGAAGAAGCACUGGCUAACUCUGUGCCAGCCGCCGCAGUAA
rnacentral:rRNA from 1 species